rnacentral:rRNA from 1 species
CAGCAGCCGCGGGAAUACGGAGGGUGCAAGCGUUAAUCGGAAUUACUGGGCGUAAAGCGCACGCAGGCGGUCUGUCAAGUCAGAUGUGAAAUCCCCGGGCUUAACCUGGGAACUGCAUUUGAAACUGGCAGGCUAGAGUCUUGUAGAGGGGGGUAGAAUUCCAGGUGUAGCGGUGAAAUGCGUAGAGAUCUGGAGGAAUACCGGUGGCGAAGGCGGCCCCCUGGACAAAGACUGACGCUCAUGCACGAAAGCGUGGGGAGCAAACAGGAUUAGAUACCCCGGUAGUCCCUGUCUCUUAUAC